CUCAUACAAGAGCCAUUCACUGCUAAGCAGAGUGAUCUAAACAUACAAUAUCUAUCAUCAUAUUUACAUGAGAAAAAAUAUACACACAGAAAUUGCACAAAAUUGCAUAAAUGCCUACAAUACCAGGAUACAACUAUAAGCAGGUGCAUCAAAUAUUCAAGAAUCACCCAGUUCCCUCGAACAUUUCAUUAACUUUGCUGGGCUGGCUAGUGGCUCCUAGUCAUCAUGCAAGAAGAGCGCAUAGGAGCGAGAAGUAGAGCUUGAGGAAUGGUUAAUGUAAAACCAACCAGUAUACACUUCUCCUUCUCCUCCAAUAGUAUAGACCCUUAACAGCUCUCAACAAUUGGUUCUGCAGGUCAUUUCGAUGGAGAACUAGUUCGUCUGGAGCAAGAAGAUAUUAGACUAUAUCCGUUUUACAGCAAAAGGGAAACGCACAAAUUACCAAAUGAACAACUCAUUUGAAGGAUCGAUACUCUUUAUUAUGUUUGGAAAAUGAGUUAUGUAUUUCAUAACAAAACUGGAAAUUUUCAAUAGUAAAUCAAGGAAACCAUAACAGGAAAGGUAUGAUCUCUACUAGAUGACCAAGCAACUGAUGGAGACAAAUCCUAGUAACUGCUAUCUGGAAGGUCGCUGAGAAUUAAUUCAUCAAUAUGAACUUCGACAGUGGAUGGUGGUUGCUGGGUUUGCUGCCUUCCUGUCCUGGGGACUCUCUACUCGGUCUAUGUUAAAAGUAGUCACGAACUCUUUUUUUGUUCCUAGAUUGGUGCAAAGAAUGAGAUUUGGCUUCCAUAAGUCCAUUGUCCUCAGUAUUCACAUAUAUGAAUUGAUAGAGUUUCAUGGGAAUUGUCAUGAAAAAGAAAUAUGAUAAGUGUUAUUGAACGAUUUCCUGCAAUUCUUUCCAAUAAGUAAAGAGUCUAGCCACAAGUCUUGAGACAAUGGUAGCAAGAAGGAAACCGUAAAUACUUGGCUUCGACACAAUGAUAAAAUAUUGCACUCACAAUUAGACCAUAUCCCUGAGAUUUGAUGAAAGAAGGUGCAACAGCAGUUAAUACGUUGUAAUUGGUGAAAUCUAAAUUCAAUACAAACUAUCAAUUGUUUCCUCGUAUAUAUAUCUUUAAAACAAAGCAGAAAAGCAUGUAAGCAAUAAUAUAGAUAAAUAUAUGUGCAUGUAAGGUAAGCAAUACUCACCAAAAUAGAAAAUAACAUUUUAGCUUAUUUUCUUCCUUUAUAAAUCAUUUGGUCUUAUCCAAUCUUCCCUACCAAAAACAUGCCAAUAAAGAAGAGAAGAUCAACCCUCGCUUAUCAAACAUCGGAAUUGCACAUCACAGAGCCUCAAAAAUAUGAAUGAGAAAUAAUUUAUGCAGAUUCGCUGCCUUCACACCUAAGUGAUGGGCUGGAAGGUGGUAGAUAUGUUGCAGGAGAGCAAAAUCAAUUUUUAAGCGUUUAAGUAAAUAGCUACAAUCAGGAAAUGAAAAAUCAUAACAAAAGGUUUCACGUGACAAUUCGUUGACAAAAAAUAAUAACCAUUUGUACAAAAGUUUAUAUUGGACAUUGAUGCAGCAGUUCAAUC
rnacentral:lncRNA from 1 species